rnacentral:lncRNA from 1 species
UCAACGCUUGGUCUCUCUCCGUCUUCAGCUUUCCGCCAUAGCCAAAAGCUGCAAGAAAUACCAAAUUUCCUCUAAAGUGAGGAUAGGCUCACGCUCCAGCUCACGCAACAACAUAAGCUUGAUUGAGCUCCGGCGAGGUCUCACGGAUGACUACUGAACAGUUGUACGGCAUCGGGUUCCACAUCCCCCGCCGAGAUCUCACCUUUCGCACGAAGCUCGUGCCCCCUACCACCUACUCCAUGACGUCGAGUACUGGCAGCUCCAUGUCCUGGGCUGCUGCUGAAACGAAGAAGCCGAUGAGGGCUCAUUUACGACGUCACCCACAUGUGCGCCGCCCCCGUCGUCCUCAACACGCUCUUUAAACACCCGGCUCUCUCCUCGCAAAUCCGAGGCAAAACCUGCAAUGCCGAGGCCCGACCAAUCGAGCCUCAAAAACCCAAGACUCUGACAGAGUCACAGUUUCAACAUUGCCGCUGCUGUCGACGUAAAAACCAGUACCGUCCGUAGAACCCCUUUUCAGCAGUGGAUCUGGGGCGACACCUACCCUGAGUUGGAUUUCAGGUGGAGGUACCGAAAGCGGGGAGGGCGAUUCCGGGUUUAAGCAGAGCAGGCCUCGUAAAGCUUUAUCAAUGCUUUUCUGAAAUUUGGAGGAAGUGAGAGACUGAAAAGCAGAUGGAGAAAGUGGAUGAGAUGAUUGAGGGCUCCAUGGAGGAUGUUAUC